rnacentral:pre_miRNA from 1 species
GACUGGCCCCUAGGCUGGGCUGGGCUGGGCUGGGUAAGUAUCUCUUCCAAAGGCUCACCCUCAAGCAUGCCUAAGAGC